rnacentral:tRNA from 1 species
GCGCCGUUGGCGAAACUGGCAGACGCACCUGAUUACCUAAGGGCCACAUCAACGGGGUGGCCUUUAGGAAUCAGGCGAGGAAACUCAUGCGGGUUCAACUCCCGCACGGCGCACCA